GCCGAAGUGGUGGAACUGGCAGACGCGCCGGUCUCAAAAACCGGUGGCCGCAAGGCCGUGCGGGUUCGAUUCCCGCCUUCGGCACCA
rnacentral:tRNA from 1 species